AUCGGGGUAAAUAUUCAUCACUUGUCUUAACCAUCAGGUGGGGAUGACAGCGCAUGCCUGCCGCAACUGCUGAUGGAAUGCCUGCCACAGUCCAGGCACGCCUCUCAGCAGUUUACAAAGCAGACAGAGGUCCUUGUCCUCAUGGAGCUCACAUUUCAGCCAGAUUCGAGAAGAGGAGGAGGAAAGGGUCCCUCCUGCUUGGUCAGAGGCAGAGCCACAACCUGGGUUGGGACUGCCACAGGAUGGAGGGGUGCUGGUGGCCUGUGUGGGACACAGGACUCUCAGCGCGGAGUUUACGCCAUGAGAGAAGAGGAGGAGGAAAUGCCAUCGGGGCUGAGCUGGAAGGGCAGCAAGUCUCUCUGCCUCCCCAGGCACCUGCUCUGACUGACCCUGAGGCUGUGCCCCCCGCCCCCAGUCAGCACCACGUGGAGCUGCCCUCGUCUGAGGGCUGCAGCCCCAGAGCCCUGCUGCCUCCAUGCCUCUCUUUUCUAGUGGCAUCUCUUUUACCCAUUUCCAGGGCAUCGCUCUGGGAAAUAGAGAGAGGAGGCUUUGGCCCUGGUCACCUCUGGCUGCCCUGCUGGCCCUCGGAGCCGCAUGUUCAUGGAGGUUUGUCCCUCACCGAGGAUGAUUUCGAGUGAGUUUUACUUGAUCUUGGCUCUGCUUUAGUGCCCUCGUCUAUAAGGUGGGACUGGUAAUAAUUGCACUUACCUCAUGGAGUUAUUGAAAGGAUUAAAUGAGCCUGUAAAGUGCUUAAAAUAGUAUCUGGCUCAGAGUAAGUGCUCUGUCUGUUCAUGCUGGAUGGCUGGAUGCAUUUGUGUAGUGGCGGUGGGCCUGUCUGCUUGGCCCUGUGACCACGAGCUCGCCGUGGGCAGGACACAUCCCACGUGUCCCUAUAGUCUCAGCACCUAGCCCGGUGCCUGGCACACGGUAGGCAUGCCGCAAAUACACGUUAUGAGAACAGUGACCACUCUGGGAACUUUCACAUGCCACAGGUGUGGCCAAAAAAAAAAAAAAAAAAAAAAAAAAAAAAAAAAAAAACCCCACAAAAAACCAAACCUCUGGAUUUGGGAGGGGCAGACUCAGCAUCAGUGGCAGCGGACGGAGGGAGGGAACGAGGGUGGUGAGCAGGAUCGGGGUGAGAGGUGUGAGGACUGUGUGAGUGGGUGGGGGGGGCAGGACCAGAAGCCAUGGGGCCUGGAAUGCUAGGCGAGAGCCCAGGCGAGGCGCUGGGGAGCAUGGGGAGCAGAGAAGGGUCGGGCAGGUCCAGGAUUUUAGGGGACAUUCUGGUGGAAGAAUCUAGGCUAGAUUGGAGAAGAGAGAGAGCCUGGAGCUAGCAGGGCGACCAGCUAGGAAGUGCUGGGAACACAGGGCUGAGAGUCACAAGUCGUGUGGGAAGGCAGUGUGCUAUUUGCCCCCCCACCCCCCACGCCCGGCCCAG
rnacentral:lncRNA from 1 species